GUAGGGAAUAUUGGGCAAUGGUCGGAAGACUGACCCAGCCAUGCCGCGUGCAGGAAGACGGCCCUCUGGGUUGUAAACUGCUUUUAUCUGGGAAGAAAAAGGCCAUGCGUGGCAAAUUGCCGGUACCAGAUGAAUAAGCACCGACUAACUCCGUGCCAGCAGCCGCGGUAAUACGGAGGGUGCGAGCGUUGUCCGGAUUUAUUGGGUUUAAAGGGUGCGUAGGCGGCUGAUUAAGUCAGCGGUGAAAGACUUCGGCUUAACCGGAGCAGUGCCGUUGAUACUGGUUGGCUUGAGUGUCGGAGGGGUACAUGGAAUUGAUGGUGUAGCGGUGAAAUGCAUAGAUACCAUCAGGAACACCGAUAGCGAAGGCAUUGUACUGGCCGACAACUGACGCUGAUGCACGAAAGUGUGGGGAUCGAACAGGAUUAGAAACCCGGGUAGUCC
rnacentral:rRNA from 1 species